rnacentral:rRNA from 1 species
GAUGAACGCUGGCGGCGUGCCUAAUACAUGCAAGUCGAGCGAACAGACGAGGAGCUUGCUCCUCUGACGUUAGCGGCGGACGGGUGAGUAACACGUGUAUAACCUACCUAUAAGACUGGGAUAACUUCGGGAACCCGGAGCUAAUACCGGAUAAUAUAUUGAACCGCAUGGUUCAAUAGUUAAAUACGGUUUUUCUGCCACUUAUAGAUGGAUCUGCGCCGCAUUAGCUAGCUGGUAAGGUAACGGCUUACCAAGGCAACGAUGCGUAGCCGACCUGAGAGGGUGAUCGGCCACACUGGAACUGAGACACGCUCCAGGCUCCUGCGGGAGGCAGCAGUAGGGAAUCUUCCGCAAUGGGCGAAAGCCUGACGGAGCAACGCCGCGUGAGUGAUGAAGGUCUUCGGAUCGUAAAACUCUGUUAUUAGGGAAGAACAAAUGUGUAAGUAACUAUGCACGUCUUGACGGUACCUAAUCAGAAAGCCACGGCUAACUACGUG